GGCUCGGUGGUGGAUGGUUCACGUCUGUAACAAAUGGUAGUUCUGUAGAACUCUUAUCAUGCAGGAGGCGCCCGUUCGACUCGGGCCCGAGCCA